rnacentral:sRNA from 1 species
CUCAUAUCUUAUCUAUGAGCAAAAUGAUUAGUUUGUAAAUCUCUAUACGGAAUUUUGUGUUGAAAUUGUUAUACAUUUAUAAAAUGAAUAUGUAAAACAUUAUGAAGUCUAAUUUAUAUAUGUUAUACAAAAGUCAGCCAUCUUGAUGUGCAAUACUGGUUUGACUAAAUGUUAUGAAUGAGUUAUUGUGAUAUAUUUAGGUAUUAAAUUUAUGUGGUUAGAAAAAUAGAGAAAUAUAUAACUCAUGGAGUGAAGUUUUUCCUGUCUUAUAAGUUAUGUUGUAAUAUACUUUUUUUUGUUGAUAGUUUAUAAAAUUGAUAAAUUUGUGUUAUAAAAUUGACAAUACAAAUGUUUGCAAUUAACAAUGGCACCAU